ensembl:lncRNA
GCCCCUGAGGAAUUUGGUAAUGUCCAUUAGUUACCUGACAUCCGGAGCCCUGGCAAAUUCACUCUCUUUCACAGAGUUUCAAGCCAGGUUUGAUGGGAGAUCCCCCCGUCCACACACUGUGCAGGACACCGGAAGUAGAGGUCUGCCAGCCUGCUUAUUCCCGUCCUCAGUGCCCAGAACUGAGCAGGUCACCAACCUACAGUGCCUACCCCUACCCUUCUUCCGGCGAGAUGUGAAAACGGAGACCCAGAGAAGGGAAACAGUUGAAUCUUGUCCUGGAGUUACUUUUGUUCCUGGAUUUGGGGAAUUCCUGGGAACACCAGAAAAUGUAGUGUGUCCCACUGGUUGGUAA